UGCUAAUACCGGAUGUGCGCUUGUCGUGAAAGAUUAAUUGCCUGAAGGUGAGCUCGCGUCAGAUUAGCUAGUAGGUGGUGUAAGAGACUACCUAGGCGACGAUCUGUAGCUGGUCUGAGAGGACGAUCAGCCACACUGGAACUGAGACACGGUCCAGACUCCUACGGGAGGCAGCAGUGGGGAAUUUUCCGCAAUGGGCGAAAGCCUGACGGAGCAAUACCGCGUGAGGGACGAAGGCUUUUGGGUCGUAAACCUCUUUUAUUAGGGAAGAAUAUGACGGUACCUAAUGAAUAAGCAUCGGCUAACUCCGUGCCAGCAGCCGCGGUAAUACGGAGGAUGCAAGCGUUAUCCGGAAUGAUUGGGCGUAAAGCGUCCGCAGGUGGUUUUGUAAGUCUGCUGUCAAAGCGUAUAGCUUAACUAUAUACAGGCAGUGGAAACUAUGAGACUAGAGUAUGUUAGGGGUAGAGGGAAUUCCCAGUGUAGCGGUGAAAUGCGUAGAGAUUGGGAAGAACACCGGUGGCGAAAGCGCUCUGCUAGGACAAUA
rnacentral:rRNA from 1 species